GCCGGUGUGGCGGAAUUGGCAGACGCAGAGGAUUCAAAAUCCUCCGCCCUAAAAGGCUUGCAGGUUCAAUUCCUGUCACCGGCA
rnacentral:tRNA from 1 species